GACGAACGCUGGCGGCGUGCUUAACACAUGCAAGUCGAGCGGUAAGGCCCUUUCGGGGGUACGACGAGCGGCGAACGGGUGAGUAACACGUGGGUGACCUGCCCUCCAGCUCUGGGAUAAGCCUGGGAAACCGGGUCUAAUACUGGAUAUGACUCCAUGACGCAUGUUGUGGGGUGGAAAGCCUUGUGCGGCUGAGGAUGGGCCCGCGGCCUAUCAGCUUGUUGGUGGGGUGANGGCCUACCAAGGCGACGACGGGUAGCCGGCCUGAGAGGGCGACCGGCCACACUGGGACUGAGACACGGCCCAGACUCCUACGGGAGGCAGCAGUGGGGAAUCUUGCGCAAUGGGCGAAAGCCUGACGCAGCGACGCCGCGUGAGGGAUGACGGCCUGG
rnacentral:rRNA from 1 species